UGUUCAGUGUAGUUUGCCAGAAACUGAAAAAUGGAUAGUUUGGAAUUUUCCUAUUGAUUCAAAUUGACAUCAAAAACAUUUUCUCGGCAGCCAAUAGUAUCUUUUCUAUCCUUAUACAUUACCGUCCGACAAAGUAUACAAUCUCGACCACCGGCACGAAGACGAUGAAUCCGCCGAGUGAUUUGCCCGACGAUCAAUUUGCUUCGUUUCCUCCUAUUCCGUUUUCCUUGUUUGUUCCUCAAGACAACCUCAACUCUAACCCUAACUCUGAUCCUGCCUCAACUACAAUUCCAAAUUCAAUCCAAAUCCCUAGCCCUAGUUCAAGUCAGCUUCUUUCAUUUUCGGUUCCCAAAAAGCGACGACGAGGCAGGCCUCAACGUAGUUCGACAUCUUUUCAAAUUCCUCACUUUCCUAUCGGGACUCUAAACGGUAAGAGUGACAAUUUUGGUUCUAGUUCUACUUCUAUUUCAGCUAAUUCAAUAAAGCAUACCGUAGAAAACCCUAAUUCUUUAACACAAACUACUGUGCCUGAUAUCUCCGACGAGAUCAUUGUGAUCAAUAAAGAGUCCACGGCCGAGGCGUUAAUUGCGCUUACAGCUGGGUUCCCAGCAGAUUCCCUCACCGAUGAGGAAAUUGAUGCUGGGGUUCUUUCUGUUAUUGGGGGAAUAGAACAGGUAAAUUAUAUUCUUAUAAGAAACCACAUUAUUGCAAAAUGGCGAGAAAAUGUGUCCAAUUGGGUUACAAAGGAGAUGUUUGUUGAUUCAAUACCCCAACAGUGUCAUACGCUUUUAGAUGCUGCUUACAAUUAUCUGGUUUCACAUGGAUAUAUUAAUUUUGGGGUCGCACCGGCAAUUAAAGAUAAGAUUCCGGCUGAUCCGGGUAAGCCAAGUGUGGUUGUAAUUGGUGCUGGGCUUGCAGGUUUAGCUGCUGCGAGGCAAUUGAUGCGUCUUGGGUUUAAAGUGACUGUUUUAGAGGGUAGAAAGCGUGCCGGUGGGCGUGUUUAUACAAAGAAAAUGGAGGGAGGAAACAGGGUAUUUGCAGCAGCAGAUUUAGGUGGGAGUGUUUUGACAGGUACAUUGGGAAACCCACUUGGGAUUGUUGCUAGGCAAUUGGGUUCUUCACUUCAUAAGGUUAGAGAUAAAUGCCCAUUGUAUAGUCUUGACGGGAAACCCGUAGACCCUGAUAUGGAUAUGAAGGUAGAAAUUGCUUUCAACCGUCUUUUGGACAAAGCCAGUAGGCUUAGGCAGUUGAUGGGGGAUGUAUCGGUUGAUGUUUCUCUUGGUGCAGCGUUGGAAACUUUCAGACAGGUUUAUGGGGAUGCAGUUAAUGCUGAGGAGAUGAACUUGUUUAAUUGGCAUCUUGCAAAUUUAGAAUAUGCCAAUGCUGGCUUGCUAUCGAAGCUUUCACUUGCAUUUUGGGACCAGGAUGAUCCAUAUGAUAUGGGAGGGGACCAUUGCUUUUUGCCUGGUGGUAAUGGAAGGUUGGUUCAGGCAUUGGCAGAAAAUGUUCCAAUUUUGUAUGAGAAAACCGUAAAUACAGUUAGGUAUGGUAGCGAUGGAGUGCAGGUAAUCGCUGGAAGCCAGGUUUUUGAGGGUGAUAUGGCACUGUGUACUGUUCCUCUUGGGGUUUUGAAGAGUGGGACAAUCAAAUUUAUUCCAGAGUUGCCUCAGAGAAAGCUUGAUGGGAUAAAGAGAUUAGGGUUUGGGUUGUUGAAUAAGGUUGCCAUGCUUUUUCCUUAUGUGUUUUGGGGCACAGACCUUGAUACCUUUGGACACCUUUCUGAUGAUCCCAGCCGUCGAGGGGAGUUCUUUCUUUUUUACAGCUAUGCUACAGUUGCUGGGGGUCCUCUCUUGAUUGCUUUAGUAGCAGGAGAAGCUGCACAUAAAUUUGAGAGCAUGCCCCCUACAGAUGCGGUGACUCGAGUUAUCCAAAUUCUCAAGGGUAUAUAUGAACCACAAGGAAUAAAUGUCCCAGAGCCUAUCCAAACAGUAUGUACCAGAUGGGGUAGUGAUCCCUUCAGUCUAGGUUCUUAUUCUAAUGUUGCAGUGGGGGCAUCAGGGGAUGACUAUGAUAUUUUAGCUGAAAAUGUGGGAGACGGACGGCUAUUUUUUGCCGGGGAGGCCACCACAAGGCGGUAUCCUGCUACUAUGCAUGGAGCUUUUCUUACUGGACUCAGGGAAGCUGCAAAUAUGUUUCACUAUGCUAAUGCUCGGGCAUCGAGGAUAAAGGUUAACAGGAGCCCAUCAAAGAAUGCCCAUUCUUGUGCUUCUCUUCUUGCAGAUUUAUUCAGAGAGCCUGAUCUAGAAUUUGGGAGCUUCUCUGUUAUUUUUGGUCGAAAGAGUGCUGAUCCAAAGUCAACAGCAAUUUUAAGAGUGGUGUUUGAUGAACCAAGGAAAAAGAGUCAUGAAGGUUCAAAAUUGGAUCAACAGCAUUCAAACAAGUUACUUUUUCAGCAGCUUCAGUCACAUUUUAAUCAGCAGCAACAGCUACAUGUUUAUACUUUGUUGUCAAGGCAACAGGCUCUUGAGCUGAGAGAAGUGAGAGGAGGAGAUGAAAUGAGGUUGAAUUACCUCUGUGAGAAGCUGGGAGUAAAGCUGGUUGGAAGAAAAGGUUUGGGGCCCACCGCUGAUUCUGUUAUUGCCUCCAUAAAAGCUGAGAGGGGCAAUCGUAAACCGACUUCAACUUCUUUGGCUCUAAAGUCAGGGACAUCGAAGCUGAAAACAGGCACUUUAAAACGAAAAUUGAUCAGAAGGGCUAAAGUAGUGCGCAGCAGUAAUGCUUUGACACCUAUUUCCAACUUGAUAAAUGGUAAAGCAUCAGAGGAAAGUAAAACCAUUAAUCAAUCACUUCCUGAUACAAUGGAUUCAGGACAAAGUCAGAGUGAGAUGUCGAACUUGAAGCAGUGAGUUGACUGGCUCUUUUGUUAGAGAGGUGAGUCCCAUUUAGAAGUUGGUUGUUGGAGACACUGGCAGAUCAACAUUGGGUCACAGGCAUUUUUUCUCUAUCCAACUUCAAUUUGUCAAAGAGGACCACUCUAAUUAUUGUUAUGGAAACUCUGAUCACUACUUGAGCAGUUUUUGCUUGUCGUGUUAUUGGAUUGAUGAUCAUAAUCCACAAAUGCUUCUGUCAACUGAUCAGGAUAUUUGUGCCUCCUCUCCUGUGCUGCCUACUUUUAGCCUCUACGAUCGAGUACAGCCCAGAAAUUAUCUGGUAAGCCCACAGCAACCUUUUCAAGAUGCCUGAAUUAAGUGGGCUGGUGAUAAUGGCCUUUGAUAUCCCGUUGGAAGUGGUGAGCGGUGCCCUGGCUGAAUUUUACCUACCAUGCAUGAAACUUAUUCCAGAGUUAAUAAUGGUAUUGAAAAAUUGGACCUAUGCAUGGCCGAGGUUUUUGAAUGACCUCUAGUAAUCUUUUGUUGCUAUAUGGGAAUGGACCUAGAUCCUUCCAGGUGCUUGUAGUUCACCACAAUUGUAUGGAGAUUCUGUUAUAAACAAGUGGGUAUAUUUUUGGACAUAGUUAUACUGGUGUUUCUGUCUGAAGGAAAUUAUUACCUGAUGACCAUGAUUGACUUAGACUUGAGCUUGUCGCAGCUUGGUAUACGUUGAAACUGUUGUCUGAUCGAUCCUCUUAGAUGGCCUUUAGGUGUAAAUCUAUGAGACUUCAUCUGCAAGAUGACCUCCAGUCUUCUUUCUCAGCACAUAUAUGGAAACUUCUACUUCAGAUGGAAUCAGUUUCUGUUUUCUUCAGCAGCUCUGCCAUGAAUUGUCUUCGCUGUUGAACCGAGUAGGAUGUUUUUGUUAUUGAGUUCCACAUGUAUGCAAGGAACUUGGGAAGGAGGGCUUGGUUAUAUGUUUUGUGUUUGACGAGUUGAUUUUCUCGGAGAAGAGAUGAUAAUCCUUUUUUGUACAGACAGUAUCUUUAUCUCCAGAAUUCAUAUAAAUCUGAUUGUUCUUCA